GGCUGUGGCUCAGUGGUAGAGCGCUUGCCUAGCAUGUAUGAGGCACUGGGUUCAAAUCUCAGCACCA
rnacentral:tRNA from 1 species